rnacentral:rRNA from 1 species
GACGAACGCUGGCGGCGUGCUUAACACAUGCAAGUCGAGCGGAAAGGCCCUUCGGGGUACCCGAGCGGCGAACGGGUGAGUAACACGUUAGUAACCUGCCCCAGACUUUCGGAUAACCCUCGGAAAAGGGGGCUAAUACUGGACACAACACACCUUCGCCUUGGGUCUGUGUGGAAAGUUUUUUGGUUCGUGAUGGGCUUGCGGCCUAUGAGCUUGUUGGUGGGGUGAUGGUCGACCAAGGCGAAGACGGGUCACCGGCCUGAGAGGGCGAACGGCCACACUAGGACUGAGACACGGCCCAGACUCGUACGGUGGGCAACGGUGGGGAGUAUUGCACAGUGGGCGGAAGCCUGAUGAGGCGACGCCGCGUGAGGGAAGACGGCCUGCGGGUUGUGAACCUCAGUCAGCAGGGACGAAGCGUAAGUGACGGUACCUGCAGAAGAAGCGCCGGCUAACUACGUG